GAUGAACGCUGGCGGCGUGCCUAAUACAUGCAAGUCGAGCGAACAGACGAGGAGCUUGCUCCUCUGACGUUAGCGGCGGACGGGUGAGUAACACGUGGAUAACCUACCUAUAAGACUGGGAUAACUUCGGGAAACCGGAGCUAAUACCGGAUAAUAUAUUGAACCGCAUGGUUCAAUAGUGAAAGACGGUUUUGCUGUCACUUAUAGAUGGAUCCGCGCCGCAUUAGCUAGUUGGUAAGGUAACGGCUUACCAAGGCAACGAUGCGUAGCCGACCUGAGAGGGUGAUCGGCCACACUGGAACUGAGACACGGUCCAGACUCCUACGGGAGGCAGCAGUAGGGAAUCUUCCGCAAUGGGCGAAAGCCUAACGGAGCAACGCCGCGUGAGUGAUGAAGGUCUUCGGAUCGUAAAACUCUGUUAUUAGGGAAGAACAAAUGUGUAAGUAACUAUGCACGUCUUGACGGUACCCAAUCAGAAAGCCACGGCUAACUACGUG
rnacentral:rRNA from 1 species